rnacentral:lncRNA from 1 species
UUGCUUUCCACCGGCGGAUCUCACACAAACGUCAACCACCACUUCCAUCUGCCAUGUGCUACCUUGGCCCACGUCUUCCUCUCAAUCUUAUCUCUUCCAGAGAAAGCAAGGCUUCUUCCUCUCCCCCAAAAAUAUCUCACAUUGCUCUCCUCUAUCUCUCAGGUCACCGCAUACAUCUUUUUGUUGCUCACGCGCGAAGCGCCUUGCAGUCAAGCAGCCAUGAAUUUUUCCUCAUCCCUUCCAGCAAACAGCCCUUACUCCUCCCUUUUUGCAGCAAGCCAUGGCGCCCCAAGCUGUCAAUCUAUGGAUACGCAGUCGAGCUGUUCGCAGUUGCUAGGAGCCGCUACUGCGCCGUCAGGCUGCAGUGCCAUGAAGCUCGUCGCCGGUGCUACAAGGCCGGUGCUCGGCUACUAUGGCCACCGGUGCUCUGGAAUAAUCGUGGGAGACCUCCCGCGGGCGACAGGCUCUCGAGCAGAUCCGUAACUGAUUUCUGCAUGACGGCGGCGAACCUAGUGCAAAUAUGACGCAUCGACAAGUUUCUGCAACAUGGUUUCUGUUGCAAAAAAUAAUUGCAACAGAUGUCUUGUUGCAGGAAUACGACGCGGCGACGAGAUUCUGCAACAUGACUUCUAUUGUAAUUUUCUUUGAAACAAAGGUUUUGUUGCAGAAAUACAGAGAAAAGGCUGAAGAUGUUGCAAAUUUUACAACAAGUGUCUUGUUGCAGAAAUACAAAAAGAGAUCACAUAUGCUUUUGAAAAAAAAGUCAUGUUACAAUAGAGGUUUUGAAACAAGGGUCCUGUUUCAGAAAGAUAGGGUUUUGUUGCAGAAAAAUAGAGAAGAAUUUUUUUUACAACAAGGGUCUUGUUGGAGUAAAUCAAAGAAGAUAAUAUUUUGCAACAGAGGUCUUGUUGCAGAAAAUUAAAGAAGAAGAGAUUUCCGUAACAUGGCUCUUGUUGCAGAAAGUAACAUGGCUAUUGUUGCAGAAAGUUAGAGAAGAAGAGGUUUCGCAACAAGAGCAUUGUUGCAAGAAAUUACAGAAUAAGAACAGACGGCUCGCCUCGUAAAAUUGGACGGCUCGCGAGGCGGCGGAUCUUUUUAAAAGAUCCGCCGACCGACGUGUAGCACCGCCCUUAAAAAAUUAGGGUCAAGCUGUUUUACGGAAGAAAAAAGGCUAUGGCUAAAAGAAUUCUAGUCCUAAAAUGUAAAUACAGGGACUAAUUUAUAAAUCUAAUUAUUCUAUCGUACUAGUCUAGAAAUAAUAAACUACGGGAGUAUCUAUAGAAAAAUUACGAAGAAAGAUACCUUUAGAUAGAGAAAAGACGACUUCGGAGAGAGAAAGCGACUUUCAGAAAUUCCGUCAGAGAGGAGAAAUAUAUUUUUCAACUAGUCAAACCAAAAUAUUGAUUUAACCAGCAGUGGAUGAUUUUUGAAGGCUCUACGGAUUUAUAUUUAUAGGCGGAAAAGAUGUCAAAGACUAGGCAAUGUGGGACAAAACGUAGACGAAAUAUAGUAAAGAGAGAAAAGAAAAACGCAUGCGGCUAAAAUUUGGUUGGGCCGGCCGCGCGCGUGCGUGCGGCAUUUUUUUUUCAAACAAAAAAAAGGAAGAAAAAAAUUAAGAAAAAAAUAUUUUUUUCCUGCAAACCUAACCAAAAAAAAUAAAAAUACAACAUGGGCCAGCCUGGGUGCACUGUGCACGUGGGCGACGGAUAAAAUUGGGUCGCACGUACAGUUUUUUUUUGUUUUUCGAAAAACAGAAAGAAAAACUGUAUAACAGAAAUAAAAAUAAAAUUGUACAUAGGCAUAUUAUAUAUAAAAAAAUUCAGAAAAAUAUUUUCUAUAACUUUAACAUUUUUCUAGCGUCAAAUAAAAUCCUCAAAAAUUCAAAUAAAGCAAAGAGUGCUACAGCUAUAGUAAAACCCAAUAAAAAUCAUUUUAAAAAUACCAAAAUUAAUUCAAAUUUAUUUCUAUCGAAUUUUCUGAUGUAGGGAAUCAUUUUACCUAUUUUCCAAAUAUUUUAGUUUUGGAUAAAAAUGAUUGGAAUAAAACCCAAAUAACUCCAAAUUGAAAAUAAUUUCAAAAGGACUUUAAAUUGGAUUUCUUUUAAACUCCCAACUCAUAUUUCAUAUGUUUUGGAGAAGUUAUUUUAUCUCCUCUCAUGAAAAUCGUUGAGUUGCAUAAAGUUUCUGAAUUUAAAAUAUUUCCAAAUGAAAUUCAAAUCUGUCCAAAAACUCUUUUCAUUUUUAAAUGGAAGAAGUCAUGUCAUCUUCUCUCUAGGGUUUUGUAUUUGAAAAGAAUUUGAAUUCAUGGAGAUCAGAAAGCAAAGUGAAAGUUUUGGGAAAGUCAUAUUAUUCCCUCUCAUUUAACUUUCAAAAAGUUCAAGUUUCACUCAAUUUUACACAAGCAAUCAUACAAUCAAUCAAAAUUAUCUAUUUAAUAUAACAUUCCAAAAUUUAGGAUCUGUGGGGACGGGUCCUUGGCGUUGAGGCUGCUGCCCUGCUGCCCUUCUACAUCACCACAGAUCCUACAUCACCACAAAUCCUACAUCACCACAGAGUACCAUCGUCACACGUGCGGUAACAGCAGCUUAGAUCGGAAUUCCGAGGUCAGAGGGGCCGAAACCGUGCGAAGCAAAGGGCGAGUAGGGGGGAGGGGCGGGGUGGGAAGGGGAGGGUGGGGGAGCUCACCAUGGUGGGGAUCUCACGAGGAGGCGGCGCCGGUGACGGUGUAGAAGGACACGGUGCCCACCGAACUCGUCGGCGUCGAUACAAUCAGAGGGUCAACCGUCUCCUCCCAGCAACGGUGAGGGGCGAGCUCGACGGGAGAGCAGUGCGGCGGCAACGAUCUCGGCGACAGGAGAUGAAAGGGGAGAAGUGGAUAGGAGCACGGCGGCGGCGGCAGCGGCUGUAGGCGGCGUGCUACGAUGGGCAGCGUCGAGAGAGGGAGAGAGAGCUGGAGGGGAACGAUGCGGCGGCUAGGUUUGCGACGGGAGAAGGAGACGGCAGGGCUUUUACCUCAGAGCGAAAUUCCAAGAAUGCCCUCGGGGGGCGAUCAAAACUACGCGCGGUGGACACGCGGUGGAUACUAUUUCGAUCUACAGUUUUACAGUUCGAUCCAACGGACGGGAUCCUUCUGGGGCAUGAUCGGAUGGACGAGAACGCAUCAAGGGCCAGAUCCAACGGCCGGGAAGUGCUAAAUAAGAAUGGCAUAAAUAAGAAUGUGCCACUAUGUAUCUUACCCUGAUGUGCCAUGUAGCCUGAGACCAUUGUAUACGUUUUUUUCUGUCCAAUGCACGCAUAAAUUGACCGAACCACAUAUGCGUCAUACCUCCCUUACAUUUCCCUCUACACAUGCAGCGGACUGGUUCUUUUCUCUUCCUUUCUUUCACUUUUGGACGAAGCACCCGUCUCCUCUGCAAGAGGUCGUUCAUCUCUGUAGGCACUAGCCUUUUUCCUUCUCUCCUCCACAUCAGCGACUUUUUCUAUGGGGCAGCACUCCAAGUUGGAGCGUUGGCCAUGCCCUAAUAUACGAGCGUUAGUAGUUGCCAUCACAACUACUUAGCCAUUCAGCUAAUCCCCACAACCACGGUGUGCUUGAACCUAUGCCGGAGAAAUAAAGGAUGACUCUCAUGAUGAUAACCCACGCCAAGGACCCGUCCCCGGCUGAAGCUUCUUGCAUGUUCAUCUAGGAGUACAUCAACUCUCGGUUGUGCAUCUAGAAAUAUCCACAUAGUGACAUUGUCAAUGAAAAAAAAUAUCAUUGCACAUUACAGGAUAGAUAAAUGCUUCAACAUCGGCAUAGCGGCACACUAGUACGGUAGGUGAUGAUUGGAGCUGAACCGGACCACCUGAAGGUUGAACAAAAUUGAACCCAGACGGUUAUUUUGUAGCAACAGACAGAUCGGCUAAAGCCAAAUUGGUGCUGGGAGAGAGACUACAAGAGCCUUAUUUUCACAACAUGCAAAGGGUCUCUUACAUGCGAUAGUACGCUCCAAACUGAAUUAGCUGCUUGGUGCGAGAGAAUUGCAUUGGUUUUAGAGUGUACAGUUCAUCGUAUUAUUGCUGAGAUGGACUGUACAGAAGUCGUAACCAUGAUCAAAUUUCCGGCUACAGAUUGAUCGUGCAAUAUGGCCUGGAUACGUGAUCAUAGUGUCUUCCAUGCCAAAGAAUAAUCAUUAGAAACAAGAAACAUAAGAGUUUUUAUAUGCUAAUAAUAACUAGUCAAUAUGUUCGUACGUUGCAACGGGAGAAAAAAUCAUUGCACUCGCCUAGCCUAUAAUAAGUCUGGAAAAAUGUGCUUUCAGCUUACCGUAUUCUUUGCAAAACAACCAAGAAAUAUAUGCAUUGUUUGGUUUGUGUCAACGCUCGUGCUUUGCUAUGGAACAGACACCAAUGGCCAUGAUCCAGAUGACACAACACCCCUGCUUCACCACAAAACAAUAGUUGCCACGAUGAAUUGCUAGUAAUUCAUGUCUUUAUCUAUCAGCUAAACUAUAUAAUGGAAAUCAUUGACGAUGAAAACUUGAAAGUAGCUAAAGAAUGAAUAGGAAGGUAAAUAAUCCAACAUUGGAUGUGGCUAGGUCUUAGUCGACUGAGACUUCAGUCUCGGUCAAGUGACAUAACAUGUACAAAAAAGAAGAAGAAACUGAAAAGAAAAUUUUGCACAAAUCUCGAUGUAAGAUCUUGCGAAUAUAGUAUCAACUGAGACGUAACCAACCCUCGGUCGACUAAGAUUUAGCAAGACUGUUCAACAUUCUAAGUCAUCGUCAAAUGGGACCUAAAUUCAAAACCCUACUUAGUUAAGAUUCAAUGAUUGCACAAAAUCCACGCUUUGUGUAGGAAUAACUUGUCCUCUUUCAUCUGUCAGAUUAUUUACGUGGGGCCAGGUGAACUUGUAGUGCAACAGCUCUAACUCUACCCGUUGUUUACUUAUAAUGCGGACCUUACUGGUUUCCUUCCAAUGAAUUUACACGUGCUUUCCUUAGCUACAAAUCUAAAAUUCCCAUAAGGGGCCUACAGCCAACAGAGAAGCAACUCGUACGGGUGGUUGUUCGGUCGAGACUUCUGCGCAGAGGUAUCGUGUUCGACUCCCACCCCCCACCCGCAUUUUAUUCUAUCACUUGACCGCAUUAUUUUAAGUGGACGAAGGGUGACCAUUUAAAUUAUAGAAAAUUCUAUCUUUUGAGCAGAAAGUGUAUGGUGCACUAGCGGUUGGUCGCUCGAGGCCUCUGCAUAGAGGUUGUGGGUUUGACUCCCAUCCGGAUCGCUUAUUUUUUUAUCACUUGACCCGUUUUUCCCCAACUUAAACCAGUAACGCGGGUUUAUUACCAAAAAACUCAUGGGGGGUCUGCAAAAUGCCACGACGGAUCAAGAAUACCUAUUUGCUUUAUUAGAAGGUAUAGAUAUGCUAAAGAAGUACAAGAACUGGAAAAAUAACCGAGACGAGAUGAACCAACAAAUUAUUGAGCUUGUAAUACAAAUACCAAGUACAAACGCCUUGUCCCAACUUAUAAGGAAAUCAUUUCAUUGUAGCGACUCGACCUCAAACGGUCAAGUCUCUGUGCUUAAGUGUCAUCCCUGGAUCGGUAUGCUGACACACACAGUACUCGAGGAUUUAUAACAGAGGUAAAUCACAUGUAUAAAGUAACGUAAAUACUAUUACCUCAAUCCAUAUAGCAGAAGAAACAACAAGGUUGUGGAUUCCCAUCAACAUCAACGACAAGGUUGAGUGCAGAAAUCGUAACCCUAAUGUAUCACUUACUCGUCGUAAGAAUCCUGCAACAUGAGACGUUGCAGCCAUAUAAGUCAGUACAUUAAAUGUACUGUCAAAUUCACACCAUAGGAUAAUGAUGAAUAAUAGCUAUCACUAUAUGCAUAUUUGGCUGGUGGAAAGCUCUAAGUUUAUUUUUGCAUAAAGCCAGUUUUUCCCUACAACAAAGGAAUAUUUUUUUAACUACAAAGUUUGUUGAAAACAUUGAGAAGGUUCCUUGAACUCAAUCCCAAAUUAAUAAUCAUCAACCCAACAAAUUAUUUAAGUAACGUGUUGAGAUCAACAUGAUAAUGCAAGAACCAGAUACUCAAGACGUCCAUAAUCGGGGACACGGCUAACCAUGAUUAGUUUAUACACUCUGUAGAGGUUUGCGCACUUUUCCUCGCAAGACUCGAUCUCCUCCGUUGGAUUCUCGCACUACAAGGUGUUUGAGAAAUGGAUGACCCAUGCACAUUCUUUCAGAAGCAUUAACUCUUUACUCUAGGUAGACAGUACCAACCUACAUCCCCUACAUCUGCUAGUCUACCAUUGAAAGAGGUCACACAACAUACUCAACUAUGCUAGAGCCCAUAGUAGCUUGCGGCUGCACACGGAAGUUUUUAGCAUGAAUAAUCUCAUGAUCCCUUUGAGCCUGGGUGACAGUCCAUAGGAGAAUCACACGGUACCUCGGGAUUUCCAAAAAUACAUGCAACACUGGGUUCCCCAGGUGCCUCAAUCCACCUAGAUGUGUAUUAAAGUUGCCACCUUAAGUUAACCAUUAAUUAACAAUCUCACAUCUGUCAUGGAUUCACUCACCCAAUCCACGUCUACGAGCAUAGCAUACAAUAUAAGCAAACGUAGAAGUAACUCCCAAAGAUUUGAUAAUAAAAAGGACAAUAGGAACUACCUCAUCCAGUUUCCAAAACCCACAUAUUAAUCAGAUCCUAACCAUGUAAUUGUUUGAGGAUUGAACUAAUGCAUAAAAACUAGGUAGUAAAGGGGUAUGAUCAAAGUGUGAACUUGCCUUGUACUGUUGAUGAAGAUGAUUCACACUCAUAAUUCCUGAUAGUUCUACUUGUUACACUCCGGUCAAUCUAUCGUAAGUAAGCAAUAGUAUACAUAAGCACUCAUGCAAAAGAAUCGAAGAAAAGAUCUCUUUGGAAACAAGCAAUUAACUCUUGCAACAGAAACAAUUUCUAACAGUACCAAAAUUAGUUUGAUUUGGCCUUAUCAGAAAGUUUAGGUCAAGAGCUUCGAUUUACAAAAAGAAUCAACUAAAAUGGAGUUGUAAAACUCAAGAAACAGACGAAACAAGAUCGAAUACUAAUUUGAAUUAAACUCAAAUUUUAAAUUCUUAAAAGCAUGUUUAAGUUGGUUUACUGGAUAGUGAGGAUCGUUACAAAGAUUUAGGCGUUGGUUUCGUCGAAAACGGAGGCACGGAUAAAAAGAUAUGAUCAAAAGAAAUUUGAGUAUGAAUCUGAACAAAAUUUGAAAAUUGAAAAUUUUAAAAAGUUGUUGGGAUAGGUUCACUGGAUAGGUGGAAUCAAGACGAAAAUAUAGGCGUUGGUUUCAUCUAAUUUGGAUGGGAAAAGAUUCAAAUCAGCCGGCUGAAAACCAGGCUAGCGUCCAUCGCUUGCUCCUCUCGCCACGUGGACAUGACCCCCACAGGUGUCUCCACUUCUUCACGCCUCCCAACCUUCUCUUCUCAUCUUCUCUCAUGUCGUCUGUGCGACAGACACGACACUGCAAGUCCGGUAACUCUGCCACUGCCGGCGAGAUCCUCUGCAGACGGACCUCCUCUCUUCCUCGCGUGCCAUGGCCGGCCUAUUCUCUGCCUGCUCCGGCAGCCCGACCACCACCCAUCUGCCUCUCUCCACCAUCCAAGCUCCACCUCCCUGUGCCGAUGUGUGUCGCCCAGGCACCACUUGUGCCCGACCUCACUUCUUUUUCGCCAGGGCAUGGCAGCCUCAUGCUGCGCACGCCAGGAUCCGGCGAGAUCCGCCACGCCGGCGCAGAGAGACAUCAACCUCGAUGUGUCAUGUCACCACAUCUGACAUGAAAGGAAGGAGGCGCCGGAGAAAGGGCUCGCCGGGCGGCCCAGAAGCUUCGGGCGGGAGCCGUUGUUUCAGGAAUUGUUUCUGCAACGCGGCCGUUGUUUCAGGAAUUGUUUCCGCAAUCUCCAAAUUUUUGCAACAUGGUAGUUGUUUCUGCAACGCAACCGUUGUUUCAGGAAUUACUUCUGCAACGCGACCAUUGUUUUAGGAAUUGUUUCUGCAAUGCGAUCAUUGUUUCAGGAUUGUUUCUGUAAUGCGGCCGUUGUUUUUGCAACUGGUUUGUUGUUUCGGGGAUUAGUGUGUCGAGAAGGCGAGGCGCGGGUCUGUCAGGGCCGGGACAAAGCGCUUGUUUCUACAACUCGACCGUUGUUUCAGGAAUUAAUGAAUGGGGGAGGCGACCGAGCCGCGUGCCACGAGAUCGACGGCUACACGCGCGUAGAUCGAACGGUCAUCGAGGUGGCGGAUGUAUCGCGCGGAUCCUCCGGUGGACGCGUAGCGUCGCUCAAUUUGGAUGAACGAGCAGAUCCGUAACUGAUUUCUGCAUGACGGCGGCGAACCUAGUGCAAAUAUGACGCAUCGACAAGUUUCCGCAACAUGGUUUCUGUUGCAAAAAAAAAUUGCAACAGAUGUCUUGUUGCAGGAAUACGACGCGGCGACGAGAUUCUGCAACAUGACUUCUAUUGUAAUUUUCUUUGAAACAAAGGUUUUGUUGCAGAAAUACAGAGAAAAGGCUGAA